rnacentral:tRNA from 1 species
GGGCCCGUGGCCUAGCCUGGAUAAGGCGUCAGCCUGCGGAGCUGAAGAUCCGGGGUUCGAAUCCCCGCGGGCCCA